rnacentral:tRNA from 1 species
GGGGUUGUAGCUCAGUGGUAGAGUGUUCACCUCACAUGUUGAAGGCACUGGGUUUGAUCCUCAGCACCACA